rnacentral:rRNA from 1 species
CUGCUGCUUAACAUGCAGUCGAACGCUGAAGCCCUGGUGCUUGCACCGGGGUGGAUGAGUGGCGAACGGGUGAGUAACACGUGAGUAACCUGCCCCCGACUUCGGGAUAAGCCCGGGAAACUGGGUCUAAUACCGGAUAUGACGACCGAAGGCAUCUUUGGUUGUGGAAAGUUUUUUCGGUUGGGGAUGGGCUCGCGGCCUAUCAGUUUGUUGGUGAGGUAAUGGCUCACCAAGACGACGACGGGUAGCCGGCCUGAGAGGGCGACCGGCCACACUGGGACUGAGACACGGCCCAGACUCCUACGGGAGGCAGCAGUGGGGAAUAUUGCACAAUGGGGGAAACCCUGAUGCAGCGACGCAGCGUGCGGGAUGACGGCCUUCGGGUUGUAAACCGCUUUCAGCAGGGAAGAAGCCUUUCGGGGUGACGGUACCUGCAGAAGAAGUACCGGCUAACUACGUGCCAGCAGCCGCGGUAAUACGUAGGGUACAAGCGUUGUCCGGAAUUAUUGGGCGUAAAGAGCUCGUAGGUGGUUGGUCACGUCUGCUGUGGAAACGCAACGCUUAACGUUGCGCGUGCAGUGGGUACGGGCUGACUAGAGUGCAGUAGGGGAGUCUGGAAUUCCUGGUGUAGCGGUGAAAUGCGCAGAUAUCANGAGGAACACCGGUGGCGAAGGCGGGACUCUGGGCUGUAACUGACACUGAGGAGCGAAAGCAUGGGGAGCGAACA